GGCAGCUGGGAAAGCAACCGGGAUGGAGAGGUGAGGCUGGCACCUCUGCCCCGGCCCUCGCCCCGUCCCUGCCUCCCUCCCUGGGGUGCCGCGCUCCCAGCGCUGCUCUGCCUCCCGUGGCUGCCCCCCCCAUGCAUUUUCCCGAUCAAAAGAGAUUUAGAUUAGAUAUGAGGAAGGAAUUUUGUCCCACAAGGGCGCUGAGGCACUGGCACAGGCUGCCCAGAGGAGCUGUGGGUGCCCCAUCCCUGGAGGCAUUCGGGGCCAGGCUGGAUGGGGCUUUGGGCAGCCUGGGCUGGGGGGAGGUGUCCCUGCCCAUGGCAGGGGGCUGGAACUGGAUGAUCUUUAAGGUCCCUUCCAACCCAACCAAUGCUGUGAUUCUCUGGCCUUAUGCACAGCAUCUCCUGCUGCCUGCUGGGGUUGCUGGGGUGCAAGGGGAACUGCAGCAGGAGGAAAAGCCUGUUCUCCUCUGGGACCUCCUGGAGUGAAAGAGCAGCUUUGUGGCAGCUGGGAGAUGCGUUGGCCCAGCCUUCUCACACCCCUACAACGCUUUUACUUUAUGACAUCGGUCCAUUCUCAGUAAUCUAAUUUUAGGAUGUAUUUUAUUUUUCCAAGAAGCCCCAUCAGGCACAGGGUCUCUGGCCUUACUCUGCUUUUGGCAUGUGCCCUCAGUGCCCCAAUCAGCCUCAAUUGCCCUGAGCAGCCUCACCUGGGACCCCACCCACUCUACCCAGGCUGGGAGCUCUAUUUAAAUGCAGGCCCAGAGGCUUGGGCCUGGUUUGAGUGUGUGGGUGCCCAAGGCUGCAUCUGGCCCUGUCAGACUGGAGUUGUUCAUUGGACUUCCCUCGUGGUCUGAUUUGUCACCUUGCCUUGGCCGGAUGCUCUCUGUUGAUGGGACCUGUCACCACCUUGUCCCCGCUGAUGCGGUCUCACCACCUGCCUGCAUGAUGGUCGCCUGCUGCUUAUGGCUGGCCUCCCCUUGUGGAGCAGCUCUGCUCUCGCUGCCCUUGGCAAUACAACUCUCAGCUCAUCUUGCCUCACUCUUUUCCAGCUCUACUUCUCCAACAGCCAUGCUGGUGUUUGCCUGGAUGCAGCUGAUUUCCUCAAGUGCCAGAGAAAUCAGAAUGGUCCCGAUGCUGGUGAGGUUUCUGCCGUGUCUCGGAGGUCCCUCAGGCUGUAAGGCAGAGCCCGCUGGAGGCUGUGAGCGUCUCCUGCGGCUUCUUGAGCAGAGGCUGUGAUCUUUGCUUAUUCACUGUUGAGGGAAAUGCUGUCUGUAACCCUGUGCUGCUUCAUGGUGGUGUGAGCCGCUUGUGCAGGAGAGUACUGUAGGAGAGCAGCUUCCACUCGUGGCAGGACUGGCUCAAGAGGCUCAACGGGCACGGUCUCUUCUGGAAAGUGCUCCCUGACUCUGCCUGCCACGGGCUGGCUCUAGGAAAUUCAGCUGGGCAAGGCUCCUGUGUGCUGCCCCAGUGCCACCGCCCAGGAUCUGAGUGCCUCCUGGCCUUGUGCCUGCCUCCUCGAAGAGCAGCACCUGCAGCUCUGAGAGCCGCUGAGCUCCGUGCACGAGGCAGAAGCAGCGGCUCGGAGCUCUGCUGGAAGGGGCAGCGAACGCCCGGCCCCGCGGGAACGUUGGAGGCACAGCGACCCUGCCGCCUGCUCGCCCCCCGCUCCCGCUGCCCCCCCCCCCGGCCGUGCAGCCGGCGGCAGCAGCAGCAGCUUCCAACCCUCCCGCCGUGCCCACCCGGGUGCCCCCCCGAGGGGGCAGCGCCAGCCCGCAGCGCCCCGCACCUCACCGGCUGUCCCCGGAGCCUCCCCAGCGGAGGAUGCGCGGCCCCGGCCCGGGGGAAGCCAGAGGCCAUGUGCUGCUUUCUAGGGCAGAGCCUCCCCUCGGUGUCCGGCGAGAAGCUACCAUGGCCUUCUGCUGUCGCAGGGGCAGAAGUCUCCGGCCCUUGAAUCUCUCAUCCAGGCAGAGAACCGCUUUCCUGCAGCCUCCAGCCCGUCUUGCUCUGCUGCGAAGAUUGGCUCUUCAGGAGUAGUCCCAGCAGAAACAGAUGCAUGCACAGCAGAUUAUUUGUAGCAAAGCUCUACAUACAGAACAGAUUUAGAAUCACAGAAGUUGCCUUGGCAGGAUGAGAACUCCCUCCCCAGGAGUGUGGGUUUGUUCUCCCUUCUGCUCCCGAUGGCAGCACUGCAGCUCCCGGCGUGGAGCGGGCAUUCUUGGGCUGGAUCAAGAGGAAAUGCGCCCACCUGCCCCAGUGAUUUCAGAGCUAAGGGCAGCAAGGUACAGCCACAACAGGGGAAAGAGGUUCUGGGACCUCAGAUGUGAUGGGAGUGGGUGCCUGUGCGAGGGCAGGGCGAUGUGAAGACCACGCAGGACAGCACAAGGCUGUCCCCUGGGGCAGGGUGCCCCUGCGGAGGGGCCUGGGCUGGAGGUGGCCUCAUCCAGCUCCUGGCGCGUGGUGUGCCCUGGGCUGGUCGCAUCCUGCAGUGGUUCCAUUGAGAGGUUUGGUGGGGCUGCUUCAAAGUGAGGGGGCUGCUGCGUUUCCAGCAUGUAGCAUCAGCUGCUGCAUGGAGAGCUGGCCGCGCUGUACAGGGGGCUGCCGAGACAUGGUGAGUCACGUGUGAUAUCCACCAGGCUCUAAUUAUUCCUCCCGGUAGCACUCCUCUCUGUUGGGGACAGCGUCAGCAGCAAGAGCCGAGGAGCCAGCACCCCCUGCCUGCACGGGACCCUUGCCCAGCCCUGCCCCGGUGCGUGGUGAUGCUGGCUCCAUCUGCCCGUUGGUUUCCAGCCCUGAGGAGCUGCUGGAGGGCUGCCCACGGGGCGUUUUGGGUUGGGGCUGGGUGUGGGUAGCACUGGCGGGGCUGUCUGCAUGGGCUGGACAACUCAGAUCACACCGGGGACACCCCGUGGAUGGGGCUGGAGUGUCCGUUGUAGCCCACUCCAUUUCCACACCAAACAUUUGCCUCCUGCUUCCUGUUUUGUUGAAUAAUUCAUAAUGAGUGAUUAAUGGAGAUGUGCCACCCCUUCCAUAUUCACACAUUAUCACAGGUUGCAUUUUUUCAGCACUAUUAGUUAUUCAUAACGAUUUGCUGAGUAAUGCCCGAGCUCCUCAGGCUGCAGUGCUCUCCCUGGUGAUGGGGCGAGGGGCGCAGCAGGCUCCCGGCUGCACCCACCCGGCUCGGGGCCAGCUUCUGCUCCUCGGCCAGGUAAGCAGCACUGCGUGUCUAGUGCCAGUUCACCAGGCUGGGAGUGUGAGGCCCAGUUGCUUGAACAUACAGACAGAUGUGCCUGCAGCAGAAGAUUUGGGUUAAAUGGGUGAUUGGUUAUGAAGCAGAUUUGGGCUGAAUACUCCUGCUCCUUCCUUGGUUUAUCAUGAAUGUGAGGGGGUUUGGCUGAACCAAGGGGUGCGUAGAGAUGCCUGGCAAGUGCUCUGUCAUCUCAGCUUUAACCCUCCCUGUCCUUCUGGAUUGAGCAUUUUGAAGUCACCUCUGCUGCAGGAACAUCGGUGUGGCUCGCUCUUGGUUCUCUGCUAGCACAGACGCAGGCGGUGCUGUCCGAGAGCCCCCAGGGGGCUGGACAGGGGAGUGAGGGCAGCGCUGGGGCAGAGCUGUGCCUGUGCUGCCAGGGCCAGCUCAUCCUGCAGCUUCAUGCUGCUGGCAGCGAGCAUGGGGCUGUCCAGGAACUGCUGCCAGUGGCCAUCUGGGGGGUGGGCUGGGUCCUCCCGGAGAGGGGAUUGAGGCCGGAUCCUGGCUUCAGCCUCCUCCAUCCGGCAUCCUGGGGGUGCCAUGGCAAUGGGGCCAGCAGCGAUGGUUGCAGGGGGAGAAGCUGAAACUCUGGUGCAGGGGCUGGAUGUGGCCCCGGGCCAGGCUGCGUGGAGUAGGGGGCUUGGCUGGAAGUGCUGGGGGGAGGUGUGGGGCCUGGGCUGGGGGUGGCAGAGGAGAGGGCCGAGCCCAGCAGGAUCCUGUCCCCAGGCACUCCAGCAGUGCCCGGAGUGCUGCCUAUGAAGAUGCUCUGGCGAGGGGCUGGGCUGGCCCCUGCUGCUGUGAUGGGCACCUGCACCCUGUGCAGUCACUGGGAGCACGGCAGGGGACGCGCUGUGCUGCAGAAGAGGACAGCAGAGCUGCUGAGUGCUCACUGGGCCGCUCCAGUGACCUCGCUGCAGACAAGCAGCUCUGGUCAGU